GGGGAAUAUUGGACAAUGGGCGAAAGCCUGAUCCAGCCAUGCCGCGUGUGUGAAGAAGGUCUUCGGAUUGUAAAGCACUUUAAGUUGGGAGGAAGGGCUGCAAGUUAAUACCUUGUAGUUUUGACGUUACCAACAGAAUAAGCACCGGCUAACUUCGUGCCAGCAGCCGCGGUGAUACGUAGGGUGCGAGCGUUAAUCGGAAUUACUGGGCGUAAAGCGUGCGCAGGCGGUUUCGUAAGACAGACGUGAAAUCCCCGGGCUCAACCUGGGAACUGCGUUUGGGACUGCCUGACUAGAGUACGGUAGAGGGUGGUGGAAUUUCCUGUGUAGCGGUGAAAUGCGUAGAUAUAGGAAGGAACACCAGUGGCGAAGGCGACCACCUGGACUGAUACUGACACUGAGGUGCGAAAGCGUGGGGAGCAAACA
rnacentral:rRNA from 1 species